rnacentral:sRNA from 1 species
GAAAAAGAAAGAAAGCAAAUUAAAGUACCAAAUUAAUUUGCAUGCAUAAAAGCAGGCGGAUUUGGACGUUUCACGGGUCGUUUAUGGGUUGACGGUUGAAGUUCAUAGAUUUUCUAAAUAUAAAAAAAAUAAGCAAAUUGAUAGAUCGAUUUUUAAUUACCCGAGUUCACUUUUUCUUAUCUUUUUUUGCAAGGAGUAAUUAAUCUGAAUUACUUUGUUGCGCACGAAAACCAUUUCUUCAACCUUAAAAAAAAGAAAAAACUUUUUUCCCAACUACAAGUCCAUGAUAUCGUACUAUACCUACCCCUUAUAAAGACCCAGGGCCCACACGCCAUAUAGCAACAAGACACAGCAGCAGUGGCCACUCUCACUUCGAUCAUGACUCGACUGGAGAGCUAAUUAGUUAAUUACCCUGAUUAAUUCUUCCACACUUAACUACACAUAUAUACAAGAGUUACUUAAUUAAUUAAUUUCAUUUUUCCCGCCCAAAAUAGAUACUGUGAG